rnacentral:rRNA from 1 species
UACGUAGGGCGCAAGCGUUAUCCGGAAUUAUUGGGCGUAAAGAGCUCGUAGGCGGUUUGUCGCGUCUGCCGUGAAAGUCCGGGGCUCAACUCCGGAUCUGCGGUGGGUACGGGCAGACUAGAGUGAGGUAGGGGAGACUGGAAUUCCUGGUGUAGCGGUGAAAUGCGCAGAUAUCAGGAGGAACACCGAUGGCGAAGGCAGGUCUCUGGGCAUUAACUGACGCUGAGGAGCGAAAGCAUGGGGAGCGAACAGG